rnacentral:tRNA from 1 species
GCCCAGAUGGCGGAACUGGUAGACGCGUCAGACUCAAAAUCUGGUAUUCGCAAGGAUGUGCAGGUUCGAUUCCUGUUCUGGGCACAA